UGGGGAAUCUUGCGCAAUGCGCGAAAGCGUGACGCAGCAACGCCGCGUGGGGGAAGAAGGCCUUCGGGUUGUAAACCCCUUUCAGUUGGGACGAAGCUCCGUCGGUUAAUAGCCGGCUGGAGUGACGGUACCUUCAGAAGAAGCCCCGGCUAACUACGUGCCAGCAGCCGCGGUAAUACGUAGGGGGCUAGCGUUGUCCGGAAUCAUUGGGCGUAAAGCGCGUGUAGGCGGUCCGGUAAGUCCGCUGUGAAAGUCGGGGGCUCAACCCUCGGAUGCCGGUGGAUACUGUCGGGCUUGAGUACGGAAGAGGCGAGUGGAAUUCCUGGUGUAGCGGUGAAAUGCGCAGAUAUCAGGAGGAACACCAAUUGCGAAGGCAGCUCGCUGGGACGUUACUGACGCUGAGACGCGAAAGCGUGGGGAGCAAACAGG
rnacentral:rRNA from 1 species